rnacentral:rRNA from 1 species
AACGAACGCUGGCGGCAGGCUUAACACAUGCAAGUCGAACGAGCAUUUCGGGCCUAUCGGGGGUCCUGUAGGUAAGACGUGGGAACUUACCCUUUUCUACGGUGUCGUCCAGGUAAGCUUGAGUUAAUACAGCAUGGGCCCUUAUGGGGAAAGAGUUAUCGGUGCAGGCUCGGGCCUGGAUGGAUUCGGUGGUUGGUGGUGUAAUCGCCGAUCAACCACACGUUGCAUAGCUGGUUGGUGAGGAUGAUACUCCACACUGGGACUGAGACACGGCCCAGACUCCUACGGGAGGGAGCAGUGGGGAAUCUUAGACAAUGGGGGCAACCCUGAUCUAGCCAUGCCGCGUGAGUGAUGAAGGCCUUAGGGUUGUAAAGCUCUUUCAGAUGGGAAGAUAAUGACGGUACCAGCAGAAGAAGCCCCGGCUAACUCCGUG